GAUGAACGCUAGCGGGAGGCUUAACACAUGCAAGUCGAGGGGCAGCAUAGGGUAGCAAUACUCUGAUGGCGACCGGCAAACGGGUGAGUAACGCGUAUGUAACCUACCCUGUACAGGGGGAUAACCCGGAGAAAUUCGGACUAAUAUCCCAUAACAAUAUCCGGGGGCAUCUUUGGAUAUUUAAAGUUCCGGCGGUACGGGAUGGGCAUGCGUAACAUUAGCUAGUUGGUAAGGUAACGGCUUACCAAGGCUUUGAUGUUUAGGGGUCCUGAGAGGGUGGUCCCCCACACUGGUACUGAGACACGGACCAGACUCCUACGGGAGGCAGCAGUGAGGAAUAUUGGUCAAUGGGCGCAAGCCUGAACCAGCCAUCCCGCGUGCAGGAAGACGGCGCUAUGCGUUGUAAACUGCUUUUCCAGGGAGAGAAACUUGCGCACGUGUUGCGCAAUUGACGGUACCCUGGAAUAAGCAGUCGGCUAACUCCGUGCCAGCAGCCGCGGUAAACUGUAGUCGUC
rnacentral:rRNA from 1 species